AAGGGCUUAGCUUAGUUAAAGUGGUUUAUUUGCGUUCAAUUGAUGCAGAAUAGAGUCUUGCAGCCCUUA
rfam:Pan troglodytes isolate Yerkes chimp pedigree #C0471 (Clint) chromosome 2B, whole genome shotgun sequence.